UUUUUUAUGUCAGGUUUUAUGCCUUAACACAAAACCUCUAUGGCUUAUGAAAAUCUUUUGAAAGGAGGUUUUGUGCAAUGGCAACAGGAAAAGUAAAAUGGUUCAAUGAGUCCAAAGGUUAUGGAUUUAUUGAGCAAGAAUCCGGGGAAGAUGUCUUUGUGCAUUUUUCUGCUAUUCAGGGCGAUGGUUUUAAGACCCUGAAAGAAGGACAGAAGGUGCAAUUUGAUGUCACAAAGGGCCCAAAAGGCCCACAGGCUGCAAAUGUGACAGCAGAGUAAAAAGUCACUAUAACCAAAAUAAAAGCCCGCAUCUUAAAAGAUGCGGGCUUUUU
rnacentral:sRNA from 1 species